rnacentral:hammerhead_ribozyme from 1 species
AUCCAGCUGACGAGUCUUAAAUAAGACGAAACGUUCGUCCUGGAU